AUCUUGAUUCUUCACGGAUUUGAUUUCCAGUUGAGUCCUCUUCGCUGAAUCAGUCAUGGUCAUUAUAAACCUAUCUUUGUCAAUUCCAUUCUCAUGCUCGGGUGUUUGGUCUCGGAUACACCAGGAUAUGAGCUCUAGUCCCUGACCAUUCCUCUGUAGAUACCAAUACAUAAAGUCGUGGUCUGUCGUCUGAGUGCAGUUCAUGUGUACAUCGGAAUCUAACUUGUGCAUAAGUACUCU